rnacentral:rRNA from 1 species
GACGAACGCUGGCGGCGUGCUUAACACAUGCAAGUCGAACGGAAAGGCACUGCUAUUGUGGGGUGCUCGAGUGGCGAACGGGUGAGUAACACGUGAGUAACCUGACCUUGUCUUUGGGAUAACUUCAGGAAACUGGGGCUAAUACCAGAUAGGAGACCCUGCUGCAUGGUGGGGAUUGGAAAGUUUCGGCGGUUGCGGAUGGACGCGCGGCUUAUCAGCUUGUUAGUGGGGUAGUGGUUUACCCAGGCUUUGACGGGUCGCCGGCCUGAGAGGGUGACCGGCCACAUUGGGACUGAGAGACGGCCCAGAGUGCUACGGUGGACAGUGGGGGGAAAUAUUGCACAAUGGGCCGAAGCCUGAGGCAGCAGCGUCGCGGGCGUGAUGACGUCCUUCGGGUUGUAAACCGCUUCCGGUUGUGACGAAGCGUUAGUGACGGUAAUGGGUAAAUAAGCACCGGCUAACUACGUG